ensembl:snRNA U6 U6 spliceosomal RNA
GUGUUUGCUCCGGCAGCAUAUAUACUAAAAUUGGAACCCUGCAGAGAAGAUUAGCAUGGUCCCUGCCCAAGGGAGACAUGAACAUCAGUGAAGCAUUCCGUGUUUUA